GUGCUCACUUUGGCAACAUGUAUACUAAAAUUGGCACAACACAGAGAACUUAGCAUGGCUCCCGCACAAGGAUACACAUUUUUUUUUCAGCAUUAUGUAAUGUAUUU